CAAUAGCGUAUAUUAAAGUUGUUGCAGUUAAAAAGCUCGUAGUUGGAUUUCUUGUUGAAGCGACCGGUCGGGCGUUGAUUCGUCUGCACUGGAGUCGGUUUUGGCCAUCCUCUAGGAAAGUGCGUCUGGUAUUAAGUUAUCGGGCGUAUGAUCCUGGUCUUUUACUGUGAAAAAAUUAGAGUGUUUAAAGCAGGCCUUCGCCUUGAAUACAUUAGCAUGGAAUAAUAAGAUAGGACUUUGGUCUAUUUUGUUGGUUUGCAGACCGAAGUAAUGAUUAAUAGGGAUAGUUGGGGGUAUUUAUAUUCCGAUGUCAGAGGUGAAAUUCUUAGAUUUUCGGAAGAUAAACUUAUGCGAAAGCAUUUACCAAGGAUGUUUUCAUUAA
rnacentral:rRNA from 1 species